rnacentral:tRNA from 1 species
GACCGCGUAGCUCAGUUGGCAGAGCAUUGGGCUAGUAUUCCAAAGGGCGUAGGUUCGAUUCCCACCGUGGCCA